GACGAACGCUGGCGGCGUGCUUAACACAUGCAAGUCGAACGAUGAAGCUAGAGCUUGCUCUGGUGAAUUAGUGGCGAACGGGUGAGUAACACGUGAGUAACCUGCCCCGAACUCUGGGAUAACUGCUGGAAACGGUAGCUAAUACUGGAUACGACCUACGAAGGCAUCUUCUGUAGGUGGAAAGAAUUUCGGUUCGGGAUGGACUCGCGGCCGAUCAGCUUGUUGGUGAGGUAAUGGCUCACCAAGGCGACGACGGGUAGCCGGCCGGAGAGGGUGACCGGCCACACUGGGACGGAGACACGGCCCAGACUCCUACGGGAGGCAGCAGUGGGGAAUAUUGCACAAUGGGCGCAAGCCUGAUGCAGCAACGCCGCGUGAGGGAUGACGGCCUUCGGGUUGUAAACCUCUUUUAGUAGGGAAGAAGCGAAAGUGACGGUACCUGCAGAAAAAGCACCGGCUAACUACGUGCCAGCCGCCGCAGUAA
rnacentral:rRNA from 1 species